GGGCUCCAUUAUAUGUGUGUGUGUGUAUAUAUAUAUGUAUAUAUAUAUAUAUAUAUAUACAUAUGUGUGUGUAUACCUAUACAUACACACACAUGCAUAUACAUGUAUAUAU
rnacentral:miRNA from 1 species